rnacentral:rRNA from 1 species
GACGAACGCUGGCGGCGUGCCUAAUACAUGCAAGUAGAACGCAGUUGCGAACGGGUGAGUAACGCGGAGGUAACUGCCCCAUAGCGGGGGAUAACUAUUGGAAACGAUAGCUAAUCCCGCAUCCUGUGAGAUGGACCUGCGUUGUAUUAGCUAGUUGGUGAGGUAAAGGCCCACCAAGGCGACGAUACAUAGCCGACCUGAGAGGGCGAACGGCCACACUGGGACCGUGACACGGCCCAGACUCCUACGGGAGGCAGCAGUAGGGAAUCUUCGGCAAUGGACGGAAGUCUGACCGAGCAACGCCGCGUGAGUGAAGAGGGUUUUCGGGUCGUAAAGCUCGGUUGUCAGUGAAGCGGUAGCUAACCAGAAAGGGACGGCUAACUACGUGCCAGCAGCCGCGGUAAUUC